rnacentral:rRNA from 1 species
UCCGUAGGUGAACCUGCGGAAGGAUCAUUACCGAGUUGAUUCGGGCUCGGCCCGAUCCUCCCACCCUUUGUGUACCUACCUCUGUUGCUUUGGCGGGCCGCGGUCCUCCGCGGCCGCCCCCCUCCCCGGGGGGGUGGCCAGCGCCCGCCAGAGGACCAUCAAACUCCAGUCAGUAAACGAUGCAGUCUGAAAAACAUUUAAUAAACUAAAACUUUCAACAACGGAUCUCUUGGUUCUGGCAUCGAUGAAGAACGCAGCGAAAUGCGAUAAGUAAUGUGAAUUGCAGAAUUCAGUGAAUCAUCGAAUCUUUGAACGCACAUUGCGCCCUUUGGUAUUCCGAAGGGCAUGCCUGUUCGAGCGUCAUUACAACCCUCAAGCUCUGCUUGGUAUUGGGCACCGUCCUUUGCGGGCGCGCCUCAAAGACCUCGGCGGUGGCGUCUUGCCUCAAGCGUAGUAGAACAUACAUCUCGCUUCGGAGCGCAGGGCGUCGCCCGCCGGACGAACCUUCUGAACUUUUCUCAAGGUUGACCUCGGAUCAGGUAGGGAUACCCGCUGAACUUAAGCAUAUCAAUAAGCCGGAGGGAUC